GGCCCCAUCGUCUAGUGGUUAGGACAUAUGGUUCUCAUCCAUAAAAUGGGGGUUCGAUUCCCCCUGGGGCUA
rnacentral:tRNA from 1 species